CACCGAAGGGGUCCCCGAGGAAAUAGAAGCCGAGGUGCCGGCUCAUUUUUCUCUACCUUCAGUGGAUUUCCUUCUUUUGGAAGUGGAUUUCCUGCUUUUGAUACAGGCUUCACUCCAUUUGGGUCACUAGGUCAUGGGGGUCUCACUUCAUUUUCUUCAACGUCAUUUGGCGGCAGUGGAAUGGGCAACUUCAAAUCAAUAUCAACUUCAACUAAGAUAGUUAAUGGCAAAAAAAUCACGACAAAGAGGAUUGUGGAGAACGGUCAAGAAAGAGUAGAAGUUGAAGAAGAUGGGCAGUUAAAGUCCUUGACAAUAAAUGGUGUGGCCGACGAGAACGCCCUUGCAGAAGAAUGCCAGCGGAGAGGCCAACCCACACCAGCUCUGGCCCCUGGCCCGGCCCCAGCACCAGUCCGGGUCCCCUCCCAGGCCCGGCCCCUGGCCCCAACUCCAGCCCCAACUCCAGCCCCAGCUCCAGCCCAGACUCCGGCCCCUUCUGUCAGCACCCGCCCACAGAAGCCACCCAGGCCUGCCCCAACGGCCAAACUUGGGUCUAAAAGCAACUGGGAAGAUGACGAGCAGGACAGGCAGCGGGUUCCUGGCAACUGGGAUGCCCCUAUGACCUCAGCAGGGCUCAAAGAAGGUGGCAAGAGGAAGAAGCAGAAGCAGAAAGAGGACUUGAAGAAGAAGAAGUCGACCAAAGGGAACCAUUAG
rnacentral:lncRNA from 1 species